ensembl:lncRNA
UUACCACCAUGACUGCAUGAUGGCGACACAAAAAGAAGCGGAGCCCCCAGCUGUGAAUGGAUCCGACCAGGAGCUUCCAACACAACAGGAGCUCUGGGAGCCGACACCGGAGAGGGGACAUGUGGAUGUCCUUCUAGAUAUUAGCGAGGAGGACUUCAUGAAAGAAAUGGAGCCACACGAGUAUCACUGUUACUCCGGUUUGGAAGAAGCUGUUCAUGGUUGGGCAAGAGUUGCUCCACUGAGCUGUAUAUUUUUGACUCAAAAAACCUGCAAAAAAACAAAGCAGGCUGACAAGCCAAUGCCCUUGUGCGUUGACCCGGCAACCCCUGAUGCCAACAGCUCAACCUGGAUCGCAGAGAACCGCUGUGAGUCUCAUGGGGGCCCGCAAAACAGCUUCAAGAAAUCCCUCGCACCGAACCAGCACGCGGGCUGCUCGGGUAACACCGACUCGGCAGCUCUGCAGAAGGAUGCUUCAGAAUGGCCCGUCCUCACUCCCAUCCAGACAACCACGUCAAAACCUCCACUCAAAGAAAAGGCCGAGAGGGAAGAGGCACUCAGGGCCACGUCUGCGCUGGCUCACCACUUCCGCUCAAAAUACUCGGACAACGGAGCAGCUAAGCCUCAGAAACACAGGCCUCAUAUGAUGUUUCCCAUUAAAAACUUAACAUUUUUACCACCAAUUACGUUACAGCCCGCGAAUCACCGGAAAGCCAGUGGCAAGAAGGCCCAAGAAGGGGGAUCUACAGGGGGAAAUAUCUUCAAUGCCAAGAGCAGGAUGAAGGCAGCUGGCGUGGAGCACGUUGUUGACCCUGAGCUUCCCACUUACUCUGCAGUCCUGACCUCCAAGUACCGGCCAUGUCAGCUCAACCCCGACUUGUUCUCUGCACCCAAUAGGUAUCAAGUACCCAUGUCUUCCAAACCUGAGACCGGGCACCGCCAUAGCUACGCACUGGCCAGGAGGCUCGCACAGGUCCUCCAGUCCAGCGCAGCAUCAGGUCCACACGCCCACGUGUACCCGAGCAGGACUAUUUCCCACGAGUUCUUCUUCAGCUGUUGCAGUUACCUAGCAACGGUGCAGCUACCUCAUAAGGAGCGAGGCAGUGCGUCUGCUUCCACUUAAACCUGAGCCCCGAGUUGCAGAACUGUUAGGACCGCGAUGCACUGCAGACCACACGCGAUGACUUCCACACGUCGCCAAACUACUGCAUCUGCUGUCAAAUUGGAUUGUAUUUAACUUUUAAGCAGGGUGUCCCUGACAUAUGUGGAUGGGUUCUGGGUUACUAUUGUACCAGGUAUCAGCGCAGCAUUAUGCUGAGGUCCUUAAUGCUGCAAGUCAUGUUGGUCAACAUUAUUUACAAUGUGAGAUGCAUGUAGCGCGGGGGGGGAGUCGGAGAUCCUGACAACAGCAGGAUCUUGUUACAUUGAUUUCUUUACAAAAGGAUCUUCUUACAUUGCCUCUCUAUACUACCUCUGAUCCGCUUAGUGGGAUUGUUCAAUAAUUAAAAUAGCUGCUGUGUAAGCCUAAUUAAAAGAAUUGAAAUAGUCCUACCUGAAUGUGUCUGGACAUGCAAAAAACUUGAUUUACACAAGAGAACAAAAUGUAUAACACAUUGUACAAUUUAUUCCACUGUGCUCUUUAGUGACCAUGAGCACAAUUUCAGAAGUUUAUUACGAACAUCUGUAGUGAAGCUUCAAAAAUAAAUCAAGGCAACCAUCAACUCUACACAUACAGGCACAAACUUAACUUGUUCUCAAACAAGUAUUCUGUGCUGGGAAAAUAUCGGCAUGCGCUCCCUAUAAAGAGAAAAUAAAGCACUGUAACGGACACUUAAGACGGAGAGGCUUCGACAGUUAUGUUUAAAGCAAGUCAAACAUGUGUGUCAGCAGGGAGAAGCUGUGAAGACAGCAAAGUCCUUAUAACCACCGGCAAAUUAUCCUUAAACAGUUUGGACAUAAUGCAUAAAAACAGAGCAUGUUAUAUGUGGGGCACUGUCUCCGUUCUGUUGAUUCUUCAGUUUCGACCCUUCAACGAAACCCUUUAUACUAGUUAUCUUCCAUAAAAUGCUGCAUAGCAUCGUUUCCACGUGACAGAACAGAAAUCAAUAGCAACUAUCCAGGACAAUAUUUCAUGCAAGCGAUGAAAAUCCCAAAGUUGUUCAUUUUUCUGCAACAUAAAUCGUGGGCAAUUCAGAUCGUUAUUUUAAAGCAGCACAUUGUCUGUAACAGAAGAAAAACUAAUACUUAGGUUAAGGCACCAACAAAAAUAAAAAGAACACGUAAUCAAGGCCUUCAGCUCGAGGCUCCCAAAGUAAAACACAGAGUGAGGGGGCGCGCUGGUUAAAAGAGGUAACUUGGUGCAAAUAUAUAAUGGAAUCGUAACAUUAACUUUAGUUACUUGGAGAACGGAUUAAAGAAAGAAUAAGUGGUGCCUGUUAAGGUUGGACAACCUGAUGAUUCUAGCAAGCGAUCCUCAAAAUAAGGGGGUGAAUACGUCCAACAUCAGUGGUGAACCGCUAUGCGUCUCUGUACAGUAACAUUACUGCAGCUGGAUAUCCUUAUAGCUUAUUAAUCACAACUACACACUUCAACUGACUGUUGACUGGCUGCAGAGGCCCAAAACACACAGAAAAAAUAUAUUUUAAGAAACAUCAAACUUCACAAUCACAUUUCAAUUAAAUGUGUGCAACAACUUACAAGAUCAAACAGUUUUGCUUGUGCCACAUCUGUAUGAGUAACGCUUUGUUUCAGAGAUGCAUCCUAACGGCUUUAAGCAAAGCCUUGUUCACUGUUAAAGGCUUUAUGGGAUUUUACUUCAUGAAAAAUAUAAAGCCGACUUCCACUGGUCGACUUUUCCUACUGGGUGCAAAGCUUGCAGGAUGUUUUUAGAGUUCAUAGAGUUGCUGGCCACUGGCAAGGCGACAUCAAUGAUGCACAAGCUUAGAGUAGAUAUAUAAUGUUCCUCUACUGCGGACCACGUGAAUGCUUCAUGCACAUUUCCAAACAUAAACCAAAUGUAUGACAAGAUUCGCCGUACAGCUGAGACCACAUUGUAUUCAUGCAGAAUAUGCAUAUCUGAGCGCCGGCAUAUGUUAUAAGCUAAAUUAUAAGCCUUUUGUUGACAACCACGCACAGCUAACAAUGUCAUCUCUUUUAAAAGUGCAGAUCUUACAUUGAGGAAAUGUUGAGUCAUUUUUAAAUCGCUAGUAAGACAGUUAAAACCAGUCACACUGGUUGUACAUUGAAAAAAUUAAAGUAAACUGGCAUUUCAGACAAAAUACACAUACAAUACAUUACCUUAUGUGCAAAUAAAUACGUAAACUGUCACCGGAGUGGCUGAGUCAUGCCCGUUGAGCAAUUAAAGUGCGGUCAGGAUGUGCACCCGGAAAGGCUCUGG